CUUACUCUGCCUUUUCCGGGUCAUCUCAGCCCAAGCAGCUCAAAUCCAGCUUCUAUCAGAAUCUACAGAAGGUGUAGAGGAGGAAGAAAAUCCCCUGGGGCUGGGGAAAGAGUUAGAAAUGGUGACAUCACCAGCACAACCACCAACUAGAGCCGAGGAGACAGAGCCCAGCCCCUUGUCCAGGGUGUCCCAGUUAGACGACGCGCAGCAUAGACCUGAACCUGCCAUGGGCUGCAGCCUGCUCUGCUAUGUGGUCCUCGGGCUCCUGGGCACAGUCUCCAUGGACACUAAGAUUACACAGACACCAAGACAUCUGGUCAUGGGAACGGCAAACAAGAAGUCCUUAAAAUGUGAACAGCAUCUGGGACAUAAUGCUAUGUAUUGGUACAAACAGAACGCUCCGAAGCCCCCAGAGCUCAUGUUUCUCUUCAACUACAAAGAGCUCGUAGAAAACAAUUCUGUGCCGAGCCACUUCUCACCUGAGUGCCCUGAGAACUCUCGCUUACUUCUUCACCUGGCCAACCUGCAGCCAGGAGACUCAGCCGUGUAUCUCUGUGCCAGCAGCCAAGACACAGCCCUGCAGAGUCACCGCCUGCCUGUGCACAAACCUCAAGAAUCCAGGAAGCUUUGAGGGCAAUGGAGGGCUCGGCUGAAUAGUUCCUGUAGGACUCUAAGCAGAAGUUGCAAACCAAUGUGGCAACUCUACAGUCUGCGCCCCUACUUGGACAGUCAG